rnacentral:misc_RNA from 1 species
CCUUGUCUGGGCACCACUUGUAAG